AGGCCAGGGAUCGAACUUGCAACCUCACCAUUCCUAGUUGAAUUUGUUUCUGCUGUGCCACGACGGGAAUGCUGGAUUAAUGGUUUUUGUAACCUCUGUUAUGAACAAGGGUCUUGACAAAGUUUGCACCUCAAUUUAACAUUCAGACUCUUUUGAGUUAAGAAAUCUCCGGACAAUGAACCUCAAAAAUGCUGAGAACCCAAAAUGUGGUUUAUUUAUAGCAGUGGCUUUCAACCAGGGGCAGGAGACAUUGGGCACUGUUAGACAUUUUUGGCUGUGACAACUGGUGUGUGUGAUAUUUCUAGAGGCCAGGGCUGCUGCGGACCAGCCUGCAAAGCAGAACAGCGCCCGCAGCCCCGCUGAGAACCCUGCGCAGCUGAAACCGAUCUCCCCUCAGACAGGCUGCUCUCCUCCCGCAGAGUGGUGGGCUUGGAGGAGGGGAGGGGUCCUUCUCCCUCCUCAGCAGCAGCUCCGGAACAUUCUCCCCCCACCCCCACCCCUUGAGUUGAUGACAUUAGUUCAUCCUCUAUUCCUGGCUGCUGCUGUCGCCUCUGACUCUCAGCAUCCUGGCUCGUUUCCUGUCUUCAGCUCCUCGCUCACAGCUCCUCUCCCCAGCACCACUCCCGCCACAGCUCUUCAGGAUUCCAACACGCGCUUUCCAACAGCCUGGCCUCUAAGCCCCCGGCGUCCCCUCCCCCGCUGCCCCCCCUCCUCACCCCCACGGUUAAUGACCAGAGCCUGAUCUCAGUCCCGGGCACCCUGCUCUCGGAUUGCCACUUCCUGUCUUCCCAGCUCAUUUCCGCUGGUUUGUCAACAAUCCUUCAACUACGACCCAUCGAUCCUCCCACGUCUCACUCUUCCUCGUGCCCCUGUUGGCCCCGCUUCCCUCCUGGUUCAGCUGAGAUGCCACAGUCAAGCGGCAACACAACGAGCACCGGCACAUUCUGGUGCAGCUGCCUGAUGUGCGCUGCUGCGGGCCAGCUGUCGUACCAGCCCUUGCUCUUGUGCCUUCAAGGCAAUGUCAAUGUGGCGAAGAGGGCAAAUAAAGCCGCAGCAUCAUCGGGAAAAGAGUUUUGACCUCACUCACCCCGAGAGGGCCUUGGGGAGCCCAGGCUCUGCAGACCAGUCCCUUAAAGGCAGGGCUUUGGUCUGUUCCGUUCACUGCUGUAUCCCCUGUGCCUAGAGCAAUAUUUGGCAUAUAACAGGUACUCAAUAAAUAUUUAUUAGAUGAA